rnacentral:rRNA from 1 species
CUACGGGUUGCUGCAGUGAGGAAUAUUGCACAAUGGGGGGAACCCUGAUGCAGCAACGCCGCGUGGAUGAUGACGCAUUUCGGUGUGUAAACUCCUUUUAUAUGUCAAGAAAAUGACGGUAGCAUAUGAAUAAGCACCGGCUAACUCCGUGCCAGCAGCCGCGGUAAUACGGAGGGUGCAAGCGUUACUCGGAAUCACUGGGCGUAAAGGACGCGUAGGCGGGUUGGAAAGUCAGGUGUGAAAUCCUACAGCUUAACUGUAGAACUGCACUUGAAACUUCUAUCUAGAGUAUGGGAGGGGGAGAUGGAAUUAGUGGUGUAGGGGUAAAAUCCGUAGAUAUCACUAGGAAUACCUAAAGCGAAGGCGAUCUCCUGGAACAUUACUGACGCUAAGGCGUGAAAGCGUGGGGAGCAAACAGGAUUAGAUACCCCCGUAGUC